rnacentral:rRNA from 1 species
AAUCAACGCUGGCGGCGUGCCUCAGACAUGCAAGUCGAACGAGAACCUCCCUUCGGGGAGGGGACAGUGGCGCACGGGUGAGUAACACGUGGGUAAUUUACCUUUGGGUGGGGAACAACAGCCGGAAACGGCUGCUAAUACCGCAUAAUGCAGCGGCUCGACAUCGAGACAGUUGUUAAAGCGGGGGAUCGCAAGACCUCGCGCCUGAAAGAGAAGCCUGCGGCGGAUUAGCAGUUGGUAGGGUAAUGGCCUACCAAGGCGACGAUCUGUAACGGCCUGAGAGGGCGGUCGGUCACACUGACACUGACAUACGGGUCAGACUCCUACGGGAGGCAGCAGUCGGG